rnacentral:rRNA from 1 species
UCCGUGAAUCAUCGAGUUUUUGAACGCAAGUUGCGCCUGAGGCUCGUACCGAGGGCAUGUCUGUCUGAGCGUCCA